rnacentral:rRNA from 1 species
AGAGUUUGAUCCUGGCUCAGAUUGAACGCUGGCGGCAUGCUUUACACAUGCAAGUCGAACGGCAGCACGGGCUUCGGCCUGGUGGCGAGUGGCGAACGGGUGAGUAAUGCGUCGGAAUGCGCCGAGUAGUGGGGGAUAACGCAGCGAAAGCUGUGCUAAUACCGCAUACGUACUGAGGUAGAAAGUGGGGGACCUUCGGGCCUCACGCUAUUCGAGCGGCCGACGUCUGAUUAGCUAGUUGGUGGGGUAAAGGCUCACCAAGGCGACGAUCAGUAGCGGGUCUGAGAGGAUGAUCCGCCACACUGGGACUGAGACACGGCCCAGACUCCUACGGGAGGCAGCAGUGGGGAAUUUUGGACAAUGGGCGCAAGCCUGAUCCAGCCAUGCCGCGUGUCUGAAGAAGGCCUUCGGGUUGUAAAGGACUUUUGUCCGGGAGCAAAGCCUACUUGUUA